rnacentral:rRNA from 1 species
GUUAUAGGAUCAAGCGACUAAGUGCAUAUGGUGGAUGCCUUGGCGAUCACAGGCGAUGAAGGACGUAGUAGCCUGCGAAAAGCUGCGGGGAGCUGGCAAACAAGCUUUGAUCCGCAGAUAUCCGAAUGGGGAAACCCACUCCGUAAGGAGUAUCCCUGACUGAAUACAUAGGUCAGUGGAAGCGAACCGGGUGAACUGAAACAUCUCAGUAGCUCGAGGAAAAGAAAUCAACCGAGAUUCCGAAAGUAGUGGCGAGCGAAAUCGGAAGAGCCUUCACGUUUUAGCAUGCAAGAUAGUCGAACGGAAUGGAAAGUCCGGCCGUAGCAGGUGAUAGCCCUGUAGACGAAAUUUUGUGUGUGGAACUAAGCGUGAGAAAAGUAGGGCGGGACACGUGAAAUCCUGUUUGAAGAUGGGGGGACCAUCCUCCAAGGCUAAAUACUCGUGAUCGACCGAUAGUGAACCAGUACCGUGAGGGAAAGGCGAAAAGAACCCCGGAAGGGGAGUGAAAUAGAUCCUGAAACCGUAUGCAUACAAACAGUAGGAGCCUCCUUGUGGGGUGACUGCGUACCUUUUGUAUAAUGGGUCAGCGACUUACAUUCAGUGGCAAGGUUAACCGAAUAGGGAAGCCGUAGCGAAAGCGAGUCCGAAUAGGGCGAUUCAGUCGCUGGGUGUAGACCCGAAACCAGAUGAUCUAUCCAUGGCCAGGUUGAAGGCACGGUAACACGUGCUGGAGGACCGAACCCACUAAUGUUGAAAAAUUAGGGGAUGAGCUGUGGAUAGGGGUGAAAGGCUAAACAAAUCUGGAAAUAGCUGGUUCUCUCCGAAAACUAUUUAGGUAGUGCCUCAAGUAUUACUGCGGGGGGUAGAGCACUGUUAUAGCUAGGGGGUCAUGGCGACUUACCAAACUAUGGCAAACUCCGAAUACCCGCAAGUACAGCUUGGGAGACAGAGCACCGGGUGCUAACGUCCGGACUCAAGAGGGAAACAACCCAGACCGCCAGCUAAGGUCCCAAAUUAUCGCUAAGUGGGAAACGAAGUGGGAAGGCAUAGACAGUCAGGAGGUUGGCUUAGAAGCAGCCAUCCUUUAAAGAAAGCGUAAUAGCUCACUGAUCGAGUCGUCCUGCGCGGAAGAUGUAACGGGGCUAAGCGAUAAACCGAAGCUGCGGGUGUGCACUUUGUGCACGCGGUAGGAGAGCGUUCUGUAAGCCUGCGAAGGUGGCUUGUAAAGGCUGCUGGAGGUAUCAGAAGUGCGAAUGCUGACAUGAGUAGCGAUAAAGGGGGUGAAAAGCCCCCUCGCCGUAAGUCCAAGGUUUCCUGCGCAACGUUCAUCGGCGCAGGGUGAGUCGGCCCCUAAGGCGAGGCAGAGAUGCGUAGCUGAUGGGAAGCUGGUUAAUAUUCCAGCACCGUCGUACAGUGCGAUGGGGGGACGGAUCGCGGAAGAUCAUCAGGGUGUUGGAUGUCCCUGUUGACGUAUCGAAGAUGGCGCUUAGGCAAAUCCGGGCGCGUAAAUCAAGGGUACGGNNNNNNNNNNNNNNNNNNNNNNNNNNNNNNNNNNNNNNNNNNNNNNNNNNNNNNNNNNNNNNNNNNNNNNNNNNNNNNNNNNNNNNNNNNNNNNUACGGCACGAGCGAGCAUUGCUUGCGAAGUGAUUGGAAGUGGUUCCAAGAAAAGCCUCUAAGCUUCAGCUGUACGAGACCGUACCGCAAACCGACACAGGUGGACGGGAUGAAUAUUCCAAGGCGCUUGAGAGAACUCAGGAGAAGGAACUCGGCAAAUUGAUACCGUAACUUCGGGAGAAGGUAUACCCCGGUAGUGUGAAGCGCCUGCGCGCUUAGCAUGAUGGGGUCGCAGAGAAUCGGUGGCUGCGACUGUUUAUUAAAAACACAGCACUCUGCAAAGACGAAAGUCGACGUAUAGGGUGUGACGCCUGCCCGGUGCCGGAAGGUUAAGUGAUGGGGUGCAAGCUCUUGAUCGAAGCCCCGGUAAACGGCGGCCGUAACUAUAACGGUCCUAAGGUAGCGAAAUUCCUUGUCGGGUAAGUUCCGACCUGCACGAAUGGCGUAACGAUGGCCACACUGUCUCCUCCUGAGACUCAGCGAAGUUGAAGUGUUUGUGAUGAUGCAAUCUACCCGCGGCUAGACGGAAAGACCCCAUGAACCUUUACUGUAGCUUUGCAUUGGACUGUGAACCGGCCUGUGUAGGAUAGGUGGGAGGCUUUGAAGCGUGGUCGCUAGAUCACGUGGAGCCAUCCUUGAAAUACCACCCUGGUUUGUUUGCGGUUCUAACCUUGGUCCGUUAUCCGGAUCGGGGACAGUGCAUGGUGGGCAGUUUGACUGGGGCGGUCUCCUCCCAAAGUGUAACGGAGGAGUUCGAAGGUACGCUAGGUACGGUCGGAAAUCGUGCUGAUAGUGCAAUGGCAUAAGCGUGCUUGACUGUGAGACUGACAAGUCGAACAGGUGCGAAAGCAGGACAUAGUGAUCCGGUGGUUCUGAAUGGAAGGGCCAUCGCUCAACGGAUAAAAGGUACUCUGGGGAUAACAGGCUGAUACCGCCCAAGAGUUCAUAUCGACGGCGGUGUUUGGCACCUCGAUGUCGGCUCAUCUCAUCCUGGGGCUGUAGCCGGUCCCAAGGGUAUGGCUGUUCGCCAUUUAAAGAGGUACGUGAGCUGGGUUUAAAACGUCGUGAGACAGUUUGGUCCCUAUCUGCCGUGGGCGUUGGAUACUUGACGGAGCCUGCUCCUAGUACGAGAGGACCGGAGUGGACGUACCUCUGGUGUACCGGUUGUCAUGCCAAUGGCAUUGCCGGGUAGCUAAGUACGGAAGAGAUAACCGCUGAAGGCAUCUAAGCGGGAAACUCGUCUGAAGAUUAGGUAUCCCGGGGACUUGAUCCCCCUGAAGAGUCGUUCGAGACCAGGACGUUGAUAGGUCGGGUGUGGAAGCGCAGUAAUGCGUUAAGCUAACCGAUACUAAUUGCUCGUGAGGCUUGAUCCUAUAACACUGAUGGUUAUG